rnacentral:rRNA from 1 species
UCGAUUCCCUUAGUAGCGGCGAGCGAAACGGGAAGAGCCCAAACCAACAAGCUUGCUUGUUGGGGUUGUAGGACACUCUAUACGGAGUUACAAAGGACGACAUUAGACGAAUCAUCUGGAAAGAUGAAUCAAAGAAGGUAAUAAUCCUGUAGUCGAAAAUGUUGUCUCUCUUGAGUGGAUCCUGAGUACGACGGAGCACGUGAAAUUCCGUCGGAAUCUGGGAGGACCAUCUCCUAAGGCUAAAUACUCUCUAGUGACCGAUAGUGAACCAGUACCGUGAGGGAAAGGUGAAAAGCACCCCGGAAGGGGAGUGAAAUAGAACCUGAAACCGUGUGCUUACAAGUAGUCAGAGCCCGUUAAUGGGUGAUGGCGUGCCUUUUGUAGAAUGAACCGGCGAGUUACGAUUUGAUGCAAGGUUAAGCAGUAAAUGUGGAGCCGUAGCGAAAGCGAGUCUGAAUAGGGCGUUUAGUAUUUGGUCGUAGACCCGAAACCAGGUGAUCUACCCUUGGUCAGGUUGAAGUUCAGGUAACACUGAAUGGAGGACCGAACCGACUUACGUUGAAAAGUGAGCGGAUGAACUGAGGGUAGCGGAGAAAUUCCAAUCGAACCUGGAGAUAGCUGGUUCUCUCCGAAAUAGCUUUAGGGCUAGCCUCAAGUGAUGAUUAUUGGAGGUAGAGCACUGUUUGGACGAGGGGCCCCUCUCGGGUUACCGAAUUCAGACAAACUCCGAAUGCCAAUUAAUUUAACUUGGGAGUCAGAACAUGGGUGAUAAGGUCCGUGUUCGAAAGGGAAACAGCCCAGACCACCAGCUAAGGUCCCAAAAUAUAUGUUAAGUGGAAAAGGAUGUGGCGUUGCCCAGACAACUAGGAUGUUGGCUUAGAAGCAGCCAUCAUUUAAAGAGUGCGUAAUAGCUCACUAGUCGAGUGACACUGCGCCGAAAAUGUACCGGGGCUAAACAUAUUACCGAAGCUGUGGAUUGUCCUUUGGACAAUGGUAGGAGAGCGUUCUAAGGGCGUUGAAGCAUGAUCGUAAGGACAUGUGGAGCGCUUAGAAGUGAGAAUGCCGGUGUGAGUAGCGAAAGACGGGUGAGAAUCCCGUCCACCGAUUGACUAAGGUUUCCAGAGGAAGGCUCGUCCGCUCUGGGUUAGUCGGGUCCUAAGCUGAGGCCGACAGGCGUAGGCGAUGGAUAACAGGUUGAUAUUCCUGUACCACCUAUAAUCGUUUUAAUCGAUGGGGG